rfam:Elusimicrobia bacterium RIFCSPLOWO2_02_FTLL_61_11 rifcsplowo2_02_scaffold_4016, whole genome shotgun sequence.
GGUGCGGUGGCCAAGUGGUAAGGCGAGAGUCUGCAAAACUCUUAUUCGUGGGUUCGAUUCCCACCCGCACCU